UGCGAACUCCUACGGGAGGCAGCAGUGGGGAAUAUUGCGCAAUGGGGGGAACCCUGACGCAGCCAUGCCGCGUGAAUGAAGAAGGCCUUCGGGUUGUAAAGUUCUUUCGGUAUUGAGGAAGGAGUGUAUGUUAAUAGCAUGCAUUAUUGACGUUAAAUACAGAAGAAGCACCGGCUAACUCCGUGCCAGCAGCCGCGGUAAUACGGAGGGUGCGAGCGUUAAUCGGAAUAACUGGGCGUAAAGGGCACGCAGGCGGUGACUUAAGUGAGGUGUGAAAGCCCCGGGCUUAACCUGGGAAUUGCAUUUCAUACUGGGUCGCUAGAGUACUUUAGGGAGGGGUAGAAUUCCACGUGUAGCGGUGAAAUGCGUAGAGAUGUGGAGGAAUACCGAAGGCGAAGGCAGCCCCUUGGGAAUGUACUGACGCUCAUGUGCGAAAGCGUGGGGAGCAAACAGGAUUAGAAACCCCGGUAGUCCAGAGAA
rnacentral:rRNA from 1 species